rnacentral:hammerhead_ribozyme from 1 species
AGCCGAAACAGCCGAUAAGCUCGGCUGUCUGCCGGAAACGGUCUACCGGCACUGAUGAUGGCAGACCGAG